rnacentral:rRNA from 1 species
UACGUAGGUGGCAAGCGUUGUCCGGAAUUAUUGGGCGUAAAGCGCGCGCAGGCGGUCCUUUAAGUCUGAUGUGAAAUCUCGCGGCUCAACCGCGAGCGGUCAUUGGAAACUGGGGGACUUGAGUGCAGAAGAGGAAAGCGGAAUUCCACGUGUAGCGGUGAAAUGCGUAGAGAUGUGGAGGAACACCAGUGGCGAAGGCGGCUUUCUGGUCUGUAACUGACGCUGAGGCGCGAAAGCGUGGGGAGCGAACAGG